GUGAAUCAUCAAAUUUUUGAACGCAAAUUGCGCUUCCUGGCAUCCCGGGAAGUAUGCCUGUUUGAGGGUCAGUAUUAACAAAAAAUCGGUUUGGUUGCAAAUUGUGACGUUUCCGGAGUUGGGCUAUCUUAACUUUUUUGGUUAAGGGGCUUAAAAUUGACCUUUUUUGCGCAUUUUUAGACGUACAUAAAUUUUUUUUUAUUGUUUUUUCUUUAUUGCAAAAAUCUUUUUAAUUCCAAUCAA
rnacentral:misc_RNA from 1 species